rnacentral:tRNA from 1 species
GGACCGAUAGCUCAGUGGCAGAGCAGCUGACUUUUAAUCAGCGGGUCGGGGGUUCGAUACCCUCUCGGUCCA